AACGAACGCUGGCGGCAUGCCUAACACAUGCAAGUCGAACUAAUGCUUCGGCCUUAUUUGCGCACGGGUGCGUUACUCGUGGGAAUCUGCCCUUUGCUUCUGAAUAUCAGUUAGAAAUGACUGCUAAUACCGGAUUAUUUCGCACGACCAAAGAUUUAUCGGCAAAGGAUUAGCCCGCGUAGGAUUAGCUAGUUGUUGGGGUAAAGGCCUACCAAGGCGACGAUCCUUAGCUGGUCUGAGAGGAGGAUCAGCCACACUGGGACUGAGACAAGGCCCAGACUGCUAGGGGAAGCAGCAGGGGGGAAUAUUGGACAAUGGGCGAAAGACUGAUCAAGAAAUGACGCGGGAGUGAUGAAGGCCUUAGGGUUGUAAAGCUCUUUUACCAGGGAGGAUAAUGACAGUACCGGGAGAAUAAGCCCAGGCUAACUCCGUG
rnacentral:rRNA from 1 species